GCUAGAGAGUCUAGCUGUGGCUUCCCCAAAGAGCUCUGUAUGGGGCCUAACCAUUCUGAGUGAAUGAAUGAAAAUGCAUCUAUUAAGCUUCUCAAAGACCAGUCCCUCAACUGGAUGUAUCCUUUGACCCAGGGUUACCAUGACUGGACUCAUCCCUGUGACAGGAGAAGACAGAGGAAAGAGAGAGGAAAAAAGCUCAUACAAACAAAAGCUUCUACCCAAGUGGGCGCCCACUUCCUGGGGGAUGGCCAAACCAGUUAUAAAUAGGAAGGAAUAUUAUUGCACCACCAGAAACACAUAGGAGGGAUUCAGAGGAACUUGGAAGCCUUGAAUGAACUUGAAUAAAGAAGGGGAAGGAAGCUGAACCAAGAGGACUCAUCACCCAGGGACCACAAAGACCUCAAAGAAAGCCACUUUGCGAGUCAUGAGAACUCUGAUCCCUAAGACCAGGCCCACCCCAAGAACUGAGAGGGAAAUGCCUUCUUUGCAAACAGGCAUGGAUGCUGGCAUGAUCCCUUCUCCAGUCAGGCUUAGAAUACUGAAGGCACUUAGCCAAGAGAGAAGUAUAAGAAUAUGAUGUCCUCCUCCCCAAGCACUGCAUGAGCUUUGGAGAAGACACCUCUUCCCCAGGACGCAGAGGCCUUUGGUAUUCUUCCCUCUGCUUCCUGAUAUUUUGAGAACCCUUCCUUCAACAUCCCCUGAAAUGUGUUGCCCCCAGCACAGACCUCCUCCUCUGUGUAUUCUGGGUCAAGACCAGCUGCUCUUACAUUGUCCUUAUCUAUGAUGCCAUUUCUGCUUCCUUGUGUGCCAUACGGGGGCCUGUGAUGUUAGCCCAAAUGGUAGCUAUCUCAGCUAAAUCAGGUAUUUAUCCAGGCUCUCUUCAGAUGAGCUCCAGGCAGCUUAAGGCCAUUUUAAACAAAUCUAACCAUCUGAAAAGAACAAGGAAAUAAGAGGUCAGCAUUGGCCUGAGCUCCAAGGAAACCAAGAGAUUCCCUGAAGGUUCGAUGACUCCAGGGGUCAACGCAAGGGGAGAUGGUCCUCUGGUCACUAGCACUCUGAUCCUGAACUGCCUGAUGUUUGGCCAGCAAAGGCCUAUUUGUGAGAAACACAGACCAAAAUAACUGUCAGGACUGAAGCCAUGAAGAAGGAAUGAAUGAAUGAAUGAAUGACCUUUAGCAAGCACCCUACUAUGUGCCACAUCCUGCUCCCACCCAGGGACCCACAACCCCUAGGGAGUGUGGGGAUGCACACUGGUCCCAGGGGUGGGGAAAGUGAUGGGUCAAUCCAUCACUCGCGUUGGUCCUGCCUAAAAUUGGCAGCUCUCUGACAUGACCUCAUGGUCAGGACAAAUACCUCUUUAUGCCCUGAUAGGAAAAAACCCUGCCAUACAUGGGGGAGUAUUGAGGAUGAGGUAACAAGGCCCCGGCUGCCAACGCUUUUGAGCGCUUCCAAAACUGAAUCAGAAAUGGGCAGGAGUGGAAAAUGGGGACAUGGUUCAGGGUGGAGCCAUCAGUCUGCAUAAACUAGACAUAUGUAUUGAUCUUGGCAAGAGCCCUUCCCUGCCUCCGAUCCAAAAACCUAAUUCGAGUAAAUCGAACUGAGCUCAAGUCAGAAAGGACAUAUUGACUAAACAAGCCAAAACAAAAUGACUUCAGCCUGGUAUAGUUCUAGCAUCAGACUGCCAUGUGCCAACCUUCCUUCAGCAAGCCCAUGACCCUUGGUGGCCUUUUCCUGAAAACUCGUCUCCGAAGGUUCCAUGCCUAGGAAAGCAGGAAACUCAGGGAGGAAACAGAUGCAUCCAGCCCAAACCCACAGGCAAAAAUCCUUGGUUUAUGGGAGACAGCUGCCCCAAGGCCAUGGAGACUGGCCUGGCCAGAGGCUGAGUCACCCUUAGCAGAGAAGGUCAUCGUGCUGUGCUCACUAAGGAUGAGUGGCCGAGAGGUGCCUGACUGGAGACUGAGGGAUUUUUGUGUUCGUGAUGGGAGGACCUGACUGAGCAUGAGAGCCUGCUUAGGAAAGGACAUCUUUGAGGUGAUGGCUGCUGACCAUCCUGUGGAAGGAGGGUGCUUCAAAUGGCAUUAACGCAUUUAGUCUGAGGGCUGCUUAACACUGACCUUCCUUCUCCAUUGGGGGAUUUCAAGAUUUUAAACAAAAAUAAUGAUGAAGUGCCACACCCCCCCAAGGGCAAUGGAGAGGCAUAUGGAAGGUGGGUUGGCAACAGGUGACGGACAGAUAAUUAAAAGAGAAGUGGAGUAAAAGAUGUCAGCAAAGAAACGUGGGCGCCACCAGACAUCAAAGUACCUUAUUGGGCAGCAGUCAUCAACCCCACAUGGCGCUGGCUGUCUAAAGCAAAUGAAAACAGUCACCUAGUGCUUGAUAAGCCCAAGAACAUAAGAUAAUGGGGGCAGGACCCCCUUUUUCACAAGAACUGCCAGGAAAAUGAGAACUCAUUUUGGCAGAAAUUAGGUUGAGACCAACCAUGUUACACCAUAUACCACAGUCAGCUUAAAAUGAGUAUAUGACCUGAGCAUAAAAGGUCACAUGAUUUAAAAAAAUAGAUAAAAGAGAAUGGGAGGAGAUUCUUUUUGCCAUUAUGGCUAGGAGGAGAAUUCUUUUUUUUUUUUCAAAGUAAUGUUCUCCCCAGUUUUAUUUGUCAAAAUAGUACUUUUUAAAUGUCUAGCAAAUAAUUCCAGAAGUAUUAAAAUUUUUACAUAAAUA